rnacentral:lncRNA from 1 species
AUGACGUGAGGUCCUGUGUGGAGCAUACAACAGCUUUACUUGAUUGCUGAUGAUGUGACUGGAGGAUUAAUAAUGAUGUGCAGCGGACUAUGUGGAAAGGUGUCUUUUUCCUCUAGUGCCAUCCCAGUGACGGUUGCUGGGAUCUCCACGUCAUUAUGGUGUCGAGGCUUCUCUUUAACUAUGGGAUGGCGGUUUUGGACAUUUUGGUGAAAACCCAGGCUGGACACAUCAUCAGCUCUCAAAACACACAUUGCCAAGGCACAAAUGGACACGUUCAGCAGAUGAGGCUUCUACACAGAUGAAGUUACCAACCUCUAUUUGUGCCAUGUACGUCUACUCGAUCCUAAAAUCAUGCUCCUUACGACCUCUUGACGUUAAUUAAGAUGAGGAAGCUGACAAUACUUUUUACAGCUCCUGAGACUGAAACGGCAAGACGCAUCACUUUAGGAACUCGUUUUUUCUGAACUGAUGUUUACUCUGUUGCCUAAGAGCUUUCGAAAGCAGUGGGAAUCACUCAGAAAUGAACUGCAUGAUAGCUCUCCUGCACCCCUACCCCUAAACCCCUGGAAGUCAAUGGCUACUGGAAUUGAGAGUAACAAAAUACAUAAUACAUACAGACAAAAACAAUUGAAUAAUACCAUGAUUCUGACAAUGCAUUUAGGUUUUAUAAAACCACACGAUAAGUCUGUGAAAGAUAUUGAAGUUUAUUUACAACUAGGGAUGCACUAAUGAGAAAAACUUGGAAGAUACUGAGUAUGUUUACAUGGACACCAAUAACCCGUUUUUA